AUUGAACGCUGGCGGCAGGCCUUACACAUGCAAGUCGAGCGCGAAAGUACUUCGGUAUGAGUAGAGCGGCGGACGGGUGAGUAACGCGUAGAAAUCUGCCCAGUAGUGGGGGACAACAUGGUGAAAACCAUGCUAAUACCGCAUACGCCCUACGGGGGAAAGCAGGGGAUCUUCGGACCUUGCGCUAUUGGAUGAGUCUGCGUCGGAUUAGAUUGUUGGUGGGGUAACGGCCUACCAAGUCGACGAUCCGUAGCUGGUCUGAGAGGACGAUCAGCCACACUGGAACUGAGACACGGUCCAGACUCCUACGGGAGGCAGCAGUGGGGAAUAUUGCACAAUGGGCGAAAGCCUGAUGCAGCCAUGCCGCGUGUGUGAAGAAGGCUCUAGGGUUGUAAAGCACUUUUUCAAUAGCGAGGAAAAGCUGGCAGUUAAUACCUGUCAGCCCUGACGUUAACUAUAGAAGAAGCACCGGCUAACU
rnacentral:rRNA from 1 species